rnacentral:rRNA from 1 species
UACGGGGAUGGCGAGCGUUACUCGGAUUUAUUGGGUGUAAAGGGCAGGUAGGUGUCUCUACAAGUCAGGAGUGAAAUCCUAUGGCUUAACCAUAGAACUGCUUUUGAAACUGUAGAGAUUGAGGACAGAAGAGGAAAGCGGAAUUCCCGGUGUAAGGGUGAAAUCUGUAGAGAUCGGGAGGAACACCAGUGGCGAAAGCGGCUUUCUGGUCUGUCCCUGACGCUAAACUGCGAAAGCUAGGGGAG